rnacentral:lncRNA from 1 species
AUCAAUAGUCUCAUAAUCAGAAUUAUUCUCAUAAUUCUCAUACAGUUUCUUGUCAUUUUUUCAGGAAUUCAACAAAACUUGCAUAUUGUCUUGAUUAUGGAUUCUGCAAAUCUGAACUUCAUAAUAAACUGUGAGAGUAAUCCAGCUUUGCAUAAGAAGUGCCAGGUGCUGUGGAUGGAGGGCUGGUCAGACAGCAGUAUGAAGAAGAUACCAGAAAUGUUAUUCAGUGAAGCAGACAUCGAAGAAAAAUAUGAAAAAAAAAGAAAAGAUGAAAAGAAAAAAAGUUCAGUUGAUCCUGACUUCAUAAAGUCAUUCUUAUUGAUCCAUGAGUCUUGCAAAGCUUACGGGGCCACCCCAAGCAGGUACAUGACCUUUCUGCGUGUGUAUUCUGCCAUCAGCAGCAGCAAGAGGAAGGAGCUACUGAAAAGACAGAGUCAUUUGCAGGUAUAGUGCUGGUGAUCAUCAAGAGUUUAUUUUUGGUUUUUAAUUAUUAUGUCUUGAGUUACUGCUUAUAGGGACUGAUUAUGUAGUUCACAAUGCUAGGUUUCCUGUGGCAGAUACUCAGUGUAAGUAAAUAAUGUAUAAUAAACCCUCCAGAAACAAUUAUGUGUCCAUACAGUAUUUCCCACUAGAUUAUAGUAAGGAGUUUUUCUUCAUUAAUAGUUAUUUCACUUUUAAGGGAUACCAUUUAAUGUUUAUACAGGUCUAGUCCUUCCUCUCAGGGUGUUUUUACUUAGUUGGGCAUUAUUCAUUCUUGCAACAAAAUAUUUGGGAGGCUGAGGCAGGAGGAUUGGGAGUUUGCUAGCCUGGGCUAAUUAGUAAACCAUUGUCUCCGAAGACUAGAAAAAGAGAAAGAGAACAAAGGAAAAGUAAACAGUGCUUUUAUAAAUAUCACUACAAAGGUGAUAUUUAUAUCACUUUGACACUUUGAAACUGAAAUUAUGUUUUUGAAAGCAAACAUAUUUUGGUUAAAAUUAUAUUUAUAAAAUAAUGCUCUUACCCAUGUCACUUCUUGGUGUAUUCUAAAUGUAGAGACUUAAAUGUGAUUUUCAAAUGCCAGCCUCUGGGGGAGAGCCUACCAUAUAAAAGGUGGGGGAUUCAGUCCCUAGCACUGUAUGCAACACAUAUACACACUGCCCAGAAGACCAGUUCUAAACCUUUCAGAGAAUAUAUUCUUUUCCAGAGUUCUACCUUCUCUCUAGUAGGGUAAGACAGUGGUAUCCAACUUAUUUUAAGACCAAAUUGUCUAAAUCUUCCUUUAAAACUUCUUUUCUUAUUUAACCCAUCGGGUCUAUUUGGUGUCUAUGUAUAUGUGACUGUGGGGGCAUCCCCUGGGACACAAGGGAGACUACCAGUGACUAUGCACUCAGAGAGUGACUGCCAGCAACCAUCAGUUACUGAUAGGUCUUCAAUGAGGAGUGGAGCCCCUUAGCAACCUCUCUCACACUCAGGCUGGAAUUUAGAACUGGGUUCAUCCUAUGUGAGUCUUGGUGAAGCAACCAGGCCUGCUCUUUUUCGUAUGUGCAGUAGCCAUGGCCCAUCUAGAGGAGAGGAGUGAUGGUGCUCCUCCCUAACCUUUGCUUUGCACACUUUCUUUCCUGUCCCUCUUCCUUGACGUCCUCUGAGUGAGGACUUGGCAUAGAUGUCCCUCUAUGGCUGAACACUGACAGUCUCUUACUCUCAGCACUGUAGACUUAAACACCACCUAUUACAAUAAGAAGCUUCUCUGAUCAAGACUGGCACUAAGACAAACAUGUAUUUAGAAGAUAAUUUGACAACUCCACUAUUUGAUAGGAAAACAGCAUCAGUAGGCCCUCCUCUUGGCCCCAUGACAUCCAUAGUAAUAGAUCUGACUAUAGUAACAGUGUCUAGCAUGAACUUGACCUGUGGAAUAGUCCUCAAAUCCAGUGAUUUGCACUAUUGCUCCAGUGAGCACACAUUUUACCUUGUAGGUCAGAAGUGUGGUAUCUAGGGUUCAGUGCUGAAUAAAACUA